UCAGUUGAGCUGUUCCUUCCAGGUGUAAGGGGGCGUGGCCUGGGGAACCAAGGGGAAGGGAAUUGUUUUGGAGGGAGUUUUGAGACAGAGAGGAAAGAGGGAAGCCUGGCAGUGAAUUAAGAAGAAUUGAGCUCUUUAGUAUGUAUGGUGUUACUUUAAUGUACUUAAGGAACAUUGAGACAAGUGAACUCUGAGGACAAUGAGGACUGAUCAGCAAACCCUCCUCUCGGCUGCUGGAACCCAUUGGAGACAAACAGACAACCCGAACCUAAAUCUCCCAACUUCCAAACAUCCCUCUCUUCUCGUCCAGUUUCAACCAUCAUAUAUCGCUCCUCAGAUUGUCCAAUAAACGAUUAAAUCAA